rnacentral:misc_RNA from 1 species
AAAAAAAAAAAAUACAUAUUAUGAAAUCUAUGAAAAUAGAUUGUAGGCUUCUUUGAAUUUUAGAUAACCAUCCAAGUAGACCAUAAAAGCAUGUUAUGGUGCUUAUCUGAUGGAUUAUUGUUUGGGUGAAUUUGCAUUUCUGACCUGUUAAUGAUUAUGAUGCAGUCUGCUUUUCAUGAAAAUAUUUGUGUUUUGGUAGCAAUUUUGGGAAUAUAUGAACUGUAUGCAAUUGAAUUCUUACAUAUUGAAGAUCUGUAAUGAAUUUCCGUACUGCUAUAAUCAAUCAAGCAAGCCAACAAAAAAGUAUUGUUGCUUUACUUGUUUUGUCAUUUCCUCUUUCUGGAUCAAAGUUUCAGCUUUUGCGUUCUUGUUAUUUCUGGAGUGAUAGUUUAGAAAUCUGUACUGCAUAGAAUAGCACCAUGGAAAGACCAAAAGUGAGCAUGUUGGUUUUAGGUCCAUUUGUAGCCCAGUGAGAUGACCUUUUAAUUUUCAGCUAAUUGAGAACUGGGAAACCUGAAAUGGCAAAUAUGAAUUUAUAAUGUCAGAUUUCUCGGCCCAUUGGUGCUAGAUCAAAAAUUUCUGGUCUCUCUUUUAUCACUGCUCUUGUUGUCUAGUAAACCAAGAUUUCCCUUCAUAAACUUUGAUGCUUUGUCUAAUAUUGAGUAUUUUCCGCCUUCUAUGAUUAAAGAAAUUUAAACCUGUUAAUAUAUGCUUGACCAGAGAAGGAGAAUAGUCCAAGGACAGUGAAAGAUCUCAAGUUAAUAAGUGCGGGAAAAAUACUGGAGAACAACAUAACUGUGGGGGAAUGCCG